AUAAAAGCACUAGAAUCUUAAUUCAACGAAAUAAAGGGUUCCAAAAGAUUACGUUGUUCGCCCUAAUUUUGAUUUAGCUACGCAUAAUAAUGAAAGAAAAACACAAGUUUAUUAGGAAAUUCAUCACCGGGUCAAUUGACGGAACGUAAAUAAUUUGCAAGACUGAAUCUGCCGUGUCUGCUUCUUUUCAAUUUCAGCCCCUUGUCUUGUGUGUGUGAUUAGCAGCCGCCAAUUUUAUUAAUUGAAGAAGUCAAGUUGAAGCCACCGUUUCUGUAUCAGUUUUUGUAUAUAUUCUGCUUU
rnacentral:lncRNA from 1 species